GCCACAUUUGGAUUUUCGUUCCUUGCCUUUGCAGAUUGGUGGCUAAUCUAAAGUCAAAGGCUGAUUAACCCGUAAGGAGCAGUAAUG
rfam:Rodentibacter heylii strain 1998236014 contig_12, whole genome shotgun sequence.